rnacentral:lncRNA from 1 species
AUUUCUGGUCCAGGCACUCUGAUCGAAAGAGCAGCAUGCCAUUAAAAAUCCCAAUUGUAGACUGGCCAAAAGACACAGACUUGAUAACCAGACUUUUGAUGUAUCCCAAACAAAUUGGUGGAUUAAAAGUAUUAGCGCACUUUAUUGACGAAAAAGUAAUUUUCACCCAGGAUCCUGAGGAUAUUAUAAGUCGCAAAAUGUUUCGACUACGACUUAUAGAUUAUGCCCAUGAAAGGGGAACACCUCCCCCAACCAAUGUUCAGCUUGGCUGGUUAUUUAGCUAUGCAGGAAUUAAAUCUCGUGCUGUUGGUGGUCGGGGCAACCAAAGUUUGUGUUACUGCGGUCUUAAAUGGAGAAAAAAAGAUAGGAAUUGCUUCAGUGAUAAGGAUGUAAAGCCCGAAGAAAUAUAUUAUAAUGAGAUGUGAAGGUUGUUAGUCAAAUAUUUUUCUUUUCUGAAACCAUCAUUCUGUAAAAGGAAGAUGUAUUGUUGUUGAUAUUUUACAUGGUAUGACGUAUAUGACUAUUAUAUUGUACAGGGAAUUCUUACAUACUUAUCUUUUAAUAAGUUAUGAGAGAUGUAUUUCAAGUAUUUAUUUUUAACAUAUUAUAUUGCCGGAGGAGGAUUCUGAAUUGAUAUACUGCAUAUUGUGUGCAUGGAAGUAGUACCAUUCAAAAUGUAUUGUAUUUAAUAUCUCGCCUUUUACUCAAGGUGAUGUUAGAAGUUGCCAUUUUGUGCGAAGAUGUGUGCCUUAUCAUUUUUCUGUAUUAUGAUUUUUACCCUUGUUUUAUGAUAAUAUACAGGAAAUAUUCAAGAUUUAUUUAUUGUAAAGUAAAUAAACCUAAAGUUAAAUGUU